UGAGGAACAUGACCUUCGGCGGGGAUAGCCGGCCCAACGGCCGGGUAAUACCGCGUACGACCACAUGGGGACAUCCCCGAGUGGUGAAAGCAGCAAUGCGCCGAUGGAGUGCCUCGCGGCCUAUCAGCUAGUUGGUGAGGUAACGGCUCACCAAGGCGACGAUGCGUAGCCCGACCUGAGAGGGUNAUCGGCCACAUUGGAACUGAGACACGGUCCAGACCUCCGUAGGGACGG
rnacentral:rRNA from 1 species